UACGUAGGGAGCAAGCGUUGUCCGGAAUCAUUGGGCGUAAAGCGCGCGUAGGUGGCCCCAUAAGUCCGCUGUGAAAGUCAAAGGCUCAACCUUUGAAAGCCGGUGGAUACUGUGGGACUAGAGUACGGAAGAGGCGAGUGGAAUUCCUGGUGUAGCGGUGGAAUGCGUAGAUAUCAGGAGGAACACCUGUGGCGAAAGCGGCUCACUGGACCACAACUGACGCUGAGGCGCGAAAGCUAGGGGAGCAAACAGG
rnacentral:rRNA from 1 species